ACUCCUACGGGAGGCAGCAGUGGGGAAUCUUGGACAAUGGGGGCGAACCCUGAUCCAGCCAUGCCGCGUGAGUGAUGAAGGCCUUAGGGUCGUAAAGCUCUUUCGCCUGUGAAGAUAAUGACGGUAGCAGGUAAAGAAACCCCGGCUAACUCCGUGCCAGCAGCCGCGGUAAUACGGAGGGGGUUAGCGUUGUUCGGAAUUACUGGGGCGUAAAGCGCACGUAGGCGGAUCGGAAAGUUGGGGGUGAAAUCCCGGGGCUCAACCCCGGAACUGCCUCCAAAACUAUCGGUCUAGAGUUCGAGAGAGGUGAGUGGAAUUCCGAGUGUAGAGGUGAAAUUCGUAGAUAUUCGGAGGAACACCAGUGGCGAAGGCGGCUCACUGGCUCGAUACUGACGCUGAGGUGCGAAAGUGUGGGGAGCAAACAGGAUUAGAUACCCUGGUAGGAUAGCG
rnacentral:rRNA from 1 species